rnacentral:rRNA from 1 species
GACGAACGCUGGCGGCGUGCUUAACACAUGCAAGUCGAACGGGAUUUAGUAGACAGAAGCUUCGGUGGAAGAUUACUAAUGAGAGUGGCGAACGGGUGAGUAACGCGUGAGCAACCUGCCUAUGACAGUGGGAUAGCCUCGGGAAACCGGGAUUAAUACCGCAUAAAAUCGUAGAAACACAUGUUUCAACGGUCAAAGAUUUAUCGGUCGUAGAUGGGCUCGCGUCUGAUUAGCUAGUUGGUGAGAUAACAGCCCACCAAGGCGACGAUCAGUAGCCGGUCUGAGAGGAUGAACGGCCACAUUGGAACUGAGACACGGUCCAAACUCCUACGGGAGGCAGCAGUGGGGAAUAUUGCACAAUGGGGGAAACCCUGAUGCAGCGACGCCGCGUGAACGAAGAAGGUAUUCGUAUCGUAAAGUUCUGUCCUAUGGGAAGAUAAUGACAGUACCAUAGAAGAAAGCGCCGGCUAAAUACGUG